CAAAACUAAUGUCAACAAAUCCCAAAUCAAUAGCAACAAAACAAUAAAAAACCAAACAAGAAAGCAAAACCCAAAUGACAUAAGAGACAUAUGCAUAAUAAUUAAGAGUUAUUCCAAUAACAUGUAUCACAUCGAUGUACACAAGUCCGAUAAAUUUCAGGAUUAAAUUCAGAAGCAAAAAUGACAAUAAAAUACACAGAAAAAAAGAAAUUAGAACGGCUUCAAAGAAAUCAACAUCAAAUUGUACAACAAAUUUCCAGAGGUCUACCUGAACAAGUGAAAUAGGUUGGAGAAGAUUCGAGAGAAGGCAAGACGCAGGCGAGGAUAGGUUCUGAAAGAGUAUAAAGCAAUAUGGUGAAGCAAACCCUCGACAGUCUCGACAAAUGAGUUGAGAGAUCGAAUUGGCGGAACGUAGAGAGUCAAAGGUACCGCCGAGAAGGCCACGGCGAAGAAUAGCUGCAGCAUUUGACAGAUUCAGAUUGACUAAUUUGUCUGUUUGUUUACUGUGAAAAUGAAGGAAAUUAUUUUUUCUUUGUUUAGAGCGAGUGAGAAGGGUAAGGAGUUUGUAUUAAUGGAUUCUGU
rnacentral:misc_RNA from 1 species